UACGUAGGGUGCGAGCGUUGUCCGGAAUUAUUGGGCGUAAAGAGCUCGUAGGCGGUGUGUCGCGUCGGCCGUGAAAGCCUGGGGCUCAACUCUGGGCGUGCGGUCGAUACGGGCAUCACUGGAGUUCGGCAGGGGAGACUGGAAUUCCUGGUGUAGCGGUGAAAUGCGCAGAUAUCAGGAGGAACACCGGUGGCGAAGGCGGGUCUCUGGGCCGAUACUGACGCUGAGGAGCGAAAGCAUGGGUAGCGAACAGG
rnacentral:rRNA from 1 species